AAGAGAAAAAGAAAAAUCCAGGUUCUGAUUCAGUAGGUUUAGAGUGGAGCCUGAGAUUCUGCAUUUCUUAAAGUCAUCUCAGUGAUGCCCAUGCUACUGAUUCACAAACCAUACAUUAGAAAGCAAAGCACUAGAGGACAGAUCAUCAAAAGGUUUAGACUCUUUAUAGGCCUGAGGGUCAAAUGAUAUGUUUAGAGUCAGAAAGAUGAGCUGGGCAAAUGAUCACUUAGUAUGUGUUAGGCACUGAACUAAGAGAUUACAUGCAUUAUCUCAUGUCUAAGAAGAGCAGCUGUGGGAUGCUACUUAUGAUGAGGCAGUCAUGUAGGGAUGGAAAGCAGAGCAUCGGCCUAGGUUCAGUGUGGUACCUUUUGAGUUCCUCAAAUAUCACCUUUUCAAUUUCUUUUGUAUUCCCAGUCUGACUCAGCCUGUGGUUCUGGUGCUCAGUAAAAGUACGAGUUCUGUAUCUACACUAAGCAUUUGAGGGAAUAUUGGAAAAUAUUUGCAUACUUCGAUAUUUUCAAAUAUUGAGAUUUGGCAAGCAUAGACACAGCCAGAGGCUCAAGAUCUGUCAAGAUUUAGGGCCUUGGUAAGCAUUUACUGUACAAUUAGAACUUAUUUGCUCAAAUGCUGACAUCUAUUCUUAAGAAAAUUCUCUAUGUAGGAAAGAGAACAGAUGAAAAAGCAGGCAACAUAGCUUUUCUCUGAAUUUUA
rnacentral:lncRNA from 10 species